GGGGAGCGGACAAGAGACAGUGCUGCUCUCCUAAGCUGAGAGGGGCCCGGCUGACGGCCAACAGUGAUGAGACUUCAGCCCUCAGCAGCAAAAAGCCAGCUUCCCCAGGGAUGCGAAUGAGUGGCAGUGGCCCCCACCCAAGCUGCAGAGACGAGCCCAACAGCAGGAGGGCAGAGGGAGCAGACUCCCCGCACUUCGACCCACAGAGCGGAAGGGCAAGAAGACAGGUUUGUGUUGGUUAAAGUCAUGGCGUUUACAGCAGGACAGAAAGCCAGUGUGGAGAGGGAGAGGGGACAAGCAUCCCAGCUGCUGCCUGGAGCCCCCUAAGGACGGAAGCAGGGGAGACUCAUAAACUGGGAAGAAUUCCUGACCUCCACGUCUGCCUUCCAGCCCAGAGACGCCCAGAGAAGCACAGUGGAGAGAGGCCCAGUAGUCAUUUUGACCUUGGGGAAGAGCCAGGAGUUGCACGGUGCCAGGUCUGGUGAACAAGGUGGAUGAGGACACAGCGCCAUGGUUUUAUGAGCUGCUUUUCACUGGAGGGCGCUCAGCAGCAGUGCUCACUGAAUUCUUGACCACAGCUGGUAAAGGCCUCAGGAAGAAAGGAAAGAAGGAAGGAAAGGAAAAAUGGAAGGAAGGAAAGAAGGAGAAGGAGUAACUUUAUAAGGUGGAGGACACGUUUGUUAUAUUUGAGCUGUCCUAAUAUAUGCAAUCCUCAAGGUAUGUGCCUUAAAUAUGUGAAAUUAUUAUUUGUCAAUUUUGUCUCAGUAAAACUGAAAAGAAGUUUAAAAUUCCAA